GAAUUUAAUAUAAAUUUUAAUUGAAGGUUUGUAGAUAAAAUAUAAAUUAGAAUUUAUAUUUGGUUGGGAGGAUUGUUAAAUUAAAUGAACUUUAAAGUAAAAAAACAUUGAUUUAUGAUUAAAUUUUAGUGAUUAAGAUUUUUGUGAUGAAGUUUUAUAAAAGAAUUAAUUACCUUAGGGAUAACAGCGUAAUAUUUUUAAAAAGAUCUUAUUGAUAAAAGUGAUUGC
rnacentral:rRNA from 1 species